UACAGAGGGUGCAAGCGUUAAUCGGAAUUACUGGGCGUAAAGCGUGCGCAGGCGGUUUUGUAAGUCAGAUGUGAAAAUCCCCCGGGCUUAACCUGGGAACUGCGUUUGAAACUACAAGGCUAGAGUGUGGCAGAGGGGGGUGGAAUUCCACGUGUAGCAGUGAAAUGCGUAGAGAUGUGGAGGAACACCGAUGGCGAAGGCAGCCCCCUGGGUUAACACUGACGCUCAGGCACGAAAGCGUGGGGAGCAAACAGG
rnacentral:rRNA from 1 species